UACACAUGCAAGUCGACGGUAACUGGGGAGGAGCUUGCUCCACCCUGACGACGAGUGGCGAACGGGUGAGUAAUACAUCGGAACGUGUCCGCUCGUGGGGGACAACCAGCCGAAAGGUUGGCUAAUACCGCAUGAGUUCUACGGAAGAAAGAGGGGGACCCGCAAGGGCCUCUCGCGAGCGGAGCGGCCGAUGACUGAUUAGCCAGUUGGUGAGGUAACGGCUCACCAAAGCAACGAUCAGUAGCUGGUCUGAGAGGACGACCAGCCACACUGGGACUGAGACACGGCCCAGACUCCUACGGGAGGCAGCAGUGGGGAAUUUUGGACAAUGGGCGCAAGCCUGAUCCAGCUAUUCCGCGUGUGGGAUGAAGGCCCUCGGGUUGUAAACCACUUUUGUAGAGAACGAAAAGACAUCUUCGAAUAAAGGAUGUUGCUGACGGUACUCUAAGAAUAAGCACCGGCUAACUACGUGCCAGCAGCCGCGGUAAUACGUAGGGUGCGAGCGUUAAUCGGAAUUACUGGGCGUAAAGGGUGCGCAGGCGGUUGAGUAAGACAGAUGUGAAAUCCCCGAGCUUAACUCGGGAAUGGCAUAUGUGACUGCUCGACUAGAGUGUGUCAGAGGGAGGUGGAAUUCCACGUGUAGCAGUGAAAUGCGUAGAUAUGU
rnacentral:rRNA from 1 species